AUCAAGCUGACGAGUCUCAAAUAAGAUGAAACACGUAUCCUUGAU
rfam:Schistosoma mansoni strain Puerto Rico chromosome 5, complete genome